AUUGAACGCUGGCGGCAUGCCUUACACAUGCAAGUCGAACGGCAGCAUGGAAGAGCUUGCUCUUCUGAUGGCGAGUGGCGAACGGGUGAGUAAAGCAUCGGAACGUACCGUGUAGUGGGGGAUAACGUAGCGAAAGUUACGCUAAUACCGCAUACGCACUGAGGUGGAAAGCAGGGGAUCGCAAGACCUUGCGCUAUACGAGCGGCCGAUGUCAGAUUAGGUAGUUGGUGAGGUAAAGGCUCACCAAGCCAACGAUCUGUAGCUGGUCUGAGAGGACGACCAGCCACACUGGAACUGAGACACGGUCCAGACUCCUACGGGAGGCAGCAGUGGGGAAUUUUGGACAAUGGACGCAAGUCUGAUCCAGCCAUUCCGCGUGCAGGACGAAGGCCUCGGUUGGUAAACUAGUCUUUGUUACUAGAACGAAAAGGUAC
rnacentral:rRNA from 1 species